AGGAUUUUGUGCUCACAUUGAUUGAUAUGUGAACAAAAUUAAAGUCAGAAUUUAGUUGAAUGGUCUGAAGAAGAAUCAAAGUUCGUCUCGAUACGAGUUCGUAGGCGAAAACGGAUCUAAAAUCCGACUUGAAACGAGGGAGAACGGACCAAAACAAAAACGCCGCGCGCACGGCGCCCGCCUAGCCUCGCCGCUCGCCUACUUUGGACUUACGAAAGGGGUAGUAGGCGGCCGCCUACUUCUCUAGGCCACCGCCUACUUCUAGGCCACCGCCUUCUCUUGCGGCCACCGCCUACUUCUAGGCGGCCGCCUACUUCUAGGCGGCCGCCUACUGCGUGAUCUGGCAGUUACGAUUUUUUUAGUUUAAAACCCAUCUCUAGGGUUUCACUUUAUACUCU
rnacentral:lncRNA from 1 species